GAUGAACGCUGGCGGCGUGCCUAAUACAUGCAAGUCGAGCGAACGGACGAGAAGCUUGCUUUUCUGAUGUUAGCGGCGGACGGGUGAGUAACACGUGGAUAACCUACCUAUAAGACUGGGAUAACUUCGGGAAACCGGAGCUAAUACCGGAUAAUAUUUUGAACCGCAUGGUUCAAAAGUGAAAGACGGUCUUGCUGUCACUUAUAGAUGGAUCCGCGCUGCAUUAGCUAGUUGGUAAGGUAACGGCUUACCAAGGCAACGAUGCAUAGCCGACCUGAGAGGGGGAACGGCCACACUGGAACUGAGACACGGUCCAGACUCCUACGGGAGGCAGCAGUAGGGAAUCUUCCGCAAUGGGCGAAAGCCUGACGGAGCAACGCCGCGUGAGUGAUGAAGGUCUUCGGAUCGUAAAACUCUGUUAUUAGGGAAGAACAUAUGUGUAAGUAACUGUGCACAUCUUGACGGUACCUAAUCAGAAAGCCACGGCUAACUACGGG
rnacentral:rRNA from 1 species